CAUGGGAGUUACAUUCAGAUUUUCAGGUUUUCACCUGAGGAUAGCACAAUUCAAGUUCUACUGUUCUGUGUUCAUACUAAUAACAUGCAUGUGUUUGGAGUUCAUACUAACACAAAUAAAUGUCUGUGUUCUUAUGUAAACCAUUUUAAAUGAACUGGCUAUAACAUUUUAUUUUUUACAGGUGUGAAGAGUGAUGGAAUAGUACUUUCAUUCGACUUCAUGAACUGAAAUGUGUCGCGCAUUAUGAAAUAAAUCUGGCCAAUCACAUUUCUCCCAGCCAUUGGAACAUGUCUGUACUGACAGAUUUUGAGGGUGCCCCUCUUCAGCUAGGAGGAAUUGAUUGCGGGGUAUUCAUGUUGAUGUAUGCACUCCAUGUUACGCUCUCAAAGCCAUUUGAUUUUGCUG